GAUGAACGCUGGCGGCGUGCUUAACACAUGCAAGUCGAACGAUGAAACCAGCUUGCUGGUGGAUUAGUGGCGAACGGGUGAGUAACACGUGAGUAACCUGCCCUUGACUCUGGGAUAAGCCUGGGAAACUGGGUCUAAUACCGGAUAUGACUGAUCAUCGCAUGGUGGUUGGUGGAAAGCUUUUGCGGUUUUGGAUGGACUCGCGGCCUAUCAGCUUGUUGGUGGGGUAAUGGCCUACCAAGGCGACGACGGGUAGCCGGCCUGAGAGGGUGACCGGCCACACUGGGACUGAGACACGGCCCAGACUCCUACGGGAGGCAGCAGUGGGGAAUAUUGCACAAUGGGCGAAAGCCUGAUGCAGCGACGCCGCGUGAGGGAUGACGGCCUUCGGGUUGUAAACCUCUUUCAGUAGGGAAGAAGCCGCAAGGUGACGGUACCUGCAGAAGAAGCGCCGGCUAACUACGUGCCAGCAGCCGCCGUAACAC
rnacentral:rRNA from 1 species